AUUGGACGCUGGCGGCAUGCCUUACACAUGCAAGUCGAACGGUAACAGGUCUUCGGAUGCUGACGAGUGGCGAACGGGUGAGUAAUACAUCGGAACGUGCCUAGUAGUGGGGGAUAACUACUCGAAAGAGUGGCUAAUACCGCAUGAGAUCUCCGGAUGAAAGCAGGGGAUCGCAAGACGUUGUGGUACUCGAGCCGCCGAAGGCAGAUUAGGUAGUUGGUGGGAUAAAAGCUUACCAAGCCGACGAUCUGUAGCUGGUCUGAGAGGACGAUCAGCCACACUGGGACUGAGACACGGCCCAGACUCCUACGGGAGGCAGCAGUGGGGAAUUUUGGACAAUGGGCGCAAGCCUGAUCCAGCAAUGCCGCGUGCAGGAUGAAGGCCUUCGGGUUGUAAACUGCUUUUGUACGGAACGAAAAGCCCCGGGUUAAUACCCCGGGGUCAUGACGGUACCGUAAGAAUAAGCACCGGCUAACUACGUGCCAGCCGCCGCGGUAA
rnacentral:rRNA from 1 species